GAGAAAGGGAGUCGGAAAGAGAGCAAGAGAGCUAUCAGAGAGAGUCAGACAGGUGGCGAUGGAAACAACGGUGGAGGAUGUGGUGAUAGUGGGGGCAGGGAUAGCUGGUUUGGCCACGGCAGUGGCGUUGAAGAGUGCAGGAAUUGAAGCGCUUGUGUUGGAGAGAUCUGAAGGGCUGAGAGCCACAGGUGCAGCCUUGAUCGACUCUAUACCCCAACGCUUGGUCUGCUUUUGAUGCAUUGGGAAUUUCUCAGAAGCUCGCAACUCGUUAUCCCCCCACGCUCAAGGUUCCAGUUGGACCGAGAUGUUUACACCGGAAAGCCUUACUCAAGGCCUUGGCAGAUAAAUUAACAAUUCAUUCAGUUCGUUUCUCUUCUAAGAUCUCUGCUAUUGAUACCCAACAACAUGAAGGUUCAUCCCUUGCCAUUGUUCACUUGGAAAAUGGAACUAUCAUCAAAACAAAGAUUCUGAUAGGGUGUGACGGUGUGCACUCGGUGGUGUCACGCUGGUUAGGACUCGGUGAAUCAGUCCUUUCGGGUUGAUCAGCGGUUCGUGGAUUGGCUGUGUUUCCUCAAGGCCAUGGACUCGACCAAAACUUCCGGCAGUACAUAGGAAUAGGCAGAAGCUAGAGCUGGUUUGAUUCCCGUUUCUGACAAAGAAGUAUUUUGGUUCUUCAGUUGCACAUCUCCAGCUAAAGGUGUAAGCUUGGAAAAGGAUCCUGAAGAAAUUAAAAAACAAGUACUUGAGAAUUAUGCCAAGCACCUCCCACCUUUGUACCUAGACGUUGUGCGGCACUCGGAUCUUUCAACGUUGACAUGGGCUCCGCUGAAAUUCAGAUAUCCAUGGCAUGUGUAUUUGGGAACUUAAGCAAGCAAAACGUCACGGUGGCCGGCGAUGCCAUGCACCCGAUGACACCUGAUUUAGCACAAGGGGGUGGCUCAGCAUUAGAAGAUGCCGUGGUCUUAGGCAGACACAUAGGGCAAUCCUUUGUACAAAAUGGACGAGUUCUGGUGCCAAAAGAGAUGGCCGUCGCAAUUGAUAAAUAUGUACAAGAAAGAAGGUGGCAUGUACGUUGCUUUGUUGAUUGUGGGAUCUUACAUAUCGGGAUGGGUGCAACAAGGAGGGUCUGGCUGGGGUAAUUAAUUCUUGAGGGAUGUCAUGUAUCACAAGUUCCUUUACCCAAAAAUUGUUAGAUAUAUGCACUAUGACUCUGGGAAACUUGAUUUCUAGUGCUUUUGAAGCAUUGCGUACAACUAUACAAGAUUGAUCGUUGCUAAGUUAUCAUUAUUGAUCGACUUCCUGAUUCAAUUCUUUUUCUGGCAUACGUACAAUGAACCAAUAUUCUACGAAAUAAAUUUGUAAGAACAAUGCC